rnacentral:lncRNA from 1 species
UUAGGGUUUAGUGAUUAGGGUUUAGGUUUUAGUAUUUAGAAGGUGAGGGGGUAUUGUUGGGGUUAGCAUUAACUUAUUCCAUAGAAUCAUAGACAUUUCAUAAUUUCAUCAAUAUAUACUAUGUUAUUUAUUUUGUUCCAUUCUAUUUGGGUUUAGGGUUUAUACGUGGGUUUAUGGUUUAUAUUUUGGUUUAAAGUUUAUAUUUGGGUUUAUGGCUUAUAUUUGGGUUUAGGGUUUAUUGAUUAGGGUUUUAGGUUUAGUAUUUAGGGAUUGGGAUAAAUUUUAGUACAUAGAAAUUAGAUUCAUAUACUACUUGAGUGAUAUGGAAUACACUCUUUAUUAAAAAAGUUUCUAUUUAUACGAGAUAAAAAGUGUUUGACGUAGUUGACUUACAUGAGGUGAAAUAAUGGUGCUUCACUCUUAUCCAUAAAACCAAGUGACGACGUCAUGCACUCUCUCUUUCUUUUAUCGGAGACUUGCUAGUGAAAAGGAUAUAACCGGAUAAAAUAUGAGACAAAAGCUAGUUACUUAAUAAUGUCAAAAUCAAUGCUAUUUUUUUUAUUUUCAUUCAGAAUUUGGCUACUGAGCAAAUUCUAAUUGCAUUGUAUAGCGUACAAAAAAAUU